rnacentral:rRNA from 1 species
UACGGGGGGGGGCAAGCGUUGUUCGGAAUUACUGGGCGUAAAGGGCUCGUAGGUGGCCAACUAAGUCAGACGUGAAAGCCCCGGGCUCAACCUGGGAAUUGCGAUGGAGACUGCAAGGCUUGAAUCUGGCAGAGGGGGGUAGAAUUCCACGUGUAGCAGUGAAAUGCGUAGAGAUGAUGGAGGAACACCGAUGGCGAAGGCAGCCCCCUGGGCUAAGCAUGUGACGCUCAUGCACGAAAGCGUGGGGAGCAAACAGG